AUUGAACGCUGGCGGCAGGCCUAACACAUGCAAGUCGAACGAGUGGCGGACGGGUGAGUAAUGUCUGGGAAACUGCCUGAUGGAGGGGGAUAACUACUGGAAACGGUAGCUAAUACCGCAUACCAUCGGAUGUGCCCAGAUGGGAUUAGCUAGUAGGUGGGGUAAAGGCUCACCUAGGCGACGAUCCCUAGCUGGUCUGAGAGGAUGACCAGCCACACUGGAACUGAGACACGGGCCAGACUCCUACGGGAGGCAGCAGUGGGGAAUAUUGCGCAAUGGGGGCAAGCCGGAUGCAGCCAUGCCGCGUGUAUGAAGAAGGCCUUCGGGUUGUAAAGUUCUUUCGGCGGGGAGGCGUUACCCGCAGAAGAAGCACCGGCUAACUCCGUGCCAGCAGCCGCGGUAAUAC
rnacentral:rRNA from 1 species